rnacentral:rRNA from 1 species
AGAGUUUGAUCCUGGCUCAGGAUGAACGCUAGCGGCAGGCCUAAUACAUGCAAGUCGAACGGUGAUAGCAAUAUCAUAGUGGCGCACGGGUGCGUAACACGUAUGCAACCUACCUAUUAUUGGGGGAUAGCCUUUGGAAACGGAGAUUAAUACCGCAUAAUACGAUUGACUGGCAUCGGUUGAUUGUUAAAGCUUAGGCGAUAAUAGAUGGGCAUGCGUCCAAUUAGUUAGUUGGUUAGGUAACGGCUGACCAAGACGAUGAUUGGUAGGGGAUCUGAGAGGAUAAUCCCCCACACUGGCACUGAGAUACGGGCCAGACUCCUACGGGAGGCAGCAGUAGGGAAUAUUGGGCAAUGGGCGGAAGCCUGACCCAGCCAUGCCGCGUGCAGGAAGAAGGCGUUAUGCGUUGUAAACUGCUUUUUUAUAGGAAGAAGGAUCCCUUGCGAGGGAAGGUGACGGUACUACAAGAAUAAGCACCGGCUAACUCCGUGCCAGCAGCCGCGGUAAUACGGAGGGUGCAAGCGUUGUCCGGAUUUAUUGGGUUUAAAGGGUGCGU